rnacentral:lncRNA from 10 species
AUCUUACUCUGUCACUCAGGCUAGAGUACAGUGGUAUAAUCAUAGAUUACUGCAGCCUAGCACUCCUGGGCUCAAGUGGUCCUACAGCCUCAGCCUCCUGACCAGCUGGGACUACAGGUUGAAAACUGCAAUUUGUUAUAAUAUGUGGAAGAAAAACAACUGACAAAGACCAUCUCUGUCAAUCACAUUGUGGAACACUAUGCUUCCCUCAGGAUGGUCUCCUGCAUAUGCAGCAAAUGACCCUCUUCCACAUGGACAAGUUACAAUCUCUAUUAAAUAAUAAUUUCUGUCUGUUUAUUAAAUUAAAAUGAAUUUCACUAUAAGGUUUUAUAUUUUUCCAUGUCUUAGUAAAAUGACUUGUCUGGGAGGCCAGCAUUCCCAACAACAACAGGAUGGAGUGAGAAUACAUAGGAAAGCUAGCAAUCUAAAUAAAAUUUUAUUAUCAAACAUGAAAGUGAUAAUGGAGACAUUACAAGAAUUAGAAUUUAUUAAGGUAUUUGUUCCCUUAUGCCUUCUACUUGAAGGUAGUCAAAAAUCCAUUGAACAUUGUUGGAAACAUUAAGAGAAUUUGGUGUAUUGGCUGAUUAUAAAGUCAGUGUACAAAAGUCAAUAGAUUUUUUUAAUAUUGCAGAUAUAUUGGAUCAAAAAACAUAACGACUGAUUGUCAUUUUUAAUAUUAACAUAAAGAUAUAACAGCAAGAAGUAAGUCUAAAAAGAAGUGUGUAAGAUCUAUAUGAACAACACUAACAUGUUCUGAGAGACAUAAAAAUUAAACAAAGAGCUAUGCAAUUCUUGGAUAUGAAUACAGGUAUACAGAAAUAUGGAAAUAGUGGUUGCCUCUUGGAAGAGGAACUCAGUCAGAGAUGGGAAUUUUCAAUGUAUGCCUUAUUGACUCUCUAAACUUUUUAAGCCAUCUGCAAUUAUUAUUUUCAAACAAAUAUUAAAAUAGCUUAUACUUGUGCUGUACUCAUACUACGUGACAUGCAGUAUUGUAAGUACUUUACAUGUAUAAACUUAUUUAAACCUCAAUGCAACUCCCUGAGAUGAAUACCAUCAUUCUUAUUUUAUAGGUUAGGAAACUGAUGCACACAUAGCUUAUGUAAUUUGUCAAAGGUCACACAGUUAGUGGCUGGGACUUUUUACUCAAGCAGUCUGAUAAAAGGUCCAAGUUCUAAG